rnacentral:lncRNA from 8 species
UAUUAACCAAGUCAUAUCUAAUCUGUAAAACUAAAUAAAAUGUGAACUCAAGAAGUUGUUUAGCAAACACAGAAAAUACACCUGCCCAGCCAUGAUUGGUUGAGGUAGUGAGGGGGCUGGGACAUUCACGAGAAAGAGAGUCCAUUCUGUCAAUCAAUGCUUAUUUUUCAAAUGGCACGUCCUGCUCUCUGCUACCACGGACAUUUGAAAGAUCAGUCAUUGGAUUUAAUCAUAUUUUUCUUCAUGGACAACAUGUGAAGUGUAGCUACAGCUUUCAAUAACAGUGUUGUUCUGAAUACAGGUGCUGGUAUCGAUACAGCUUGUGUCUACUGUACUGUUGGCAAAAGCAGUCUAUUUGAAGCCGAGUGGGAAUGAUUAUUUAGAAAAGGUUUCAGUCUGCCAUGAAUCAUCAUCAUAAUCCAUACACAGCAGGACAUCAAAGGUUGAUUUCCCUCAAGCCCUGACAUGUUGACGUCUCCGUAUCCAGGCUACCAUCACCGUAGCAAUAGAAGUUGAAGGGAAAAAAAGUGAGGGUGCAGCCUCCUCUGACAUCACUCAAUGACAUCACACAAGAUAUGUUGGUCCUAUUCUGGUUACUCAAAGUUCAGGAAAAACGAGUUGGUAGGCAUUCUGUGUUUUGUUCCCUCCCCUUCUCACUCUCUCUUUCUCUCACUCUGUCAUAGCCUCUUCUCACUGCCAGUUUUUUUUGUCCCAGUGAGAUUGUGAGCUCCUCUUCAAUUCUUUCUCUCGAACUCUCCUCUUGACAGUUUGGUGGUUGUGACCCCUCUAUUAUACCAUGGGAGACCCUGUGCCUUUCUCCAUCCUGAAUGAGAGACUGAGACCACAGUUCACUGCCAUGGAACAACUCUGCUACUCCCUGCACACCCUGGAAGAUGGACACCAGCUGCCUGGCACUGUCAGUGGCAGUUCAACCACACGGUCUACAAUAUUGAGCGAUGAAAGACAAACACAGGACGAUUCAAGCUCGACCAUGAUCGAACCAGAGGAUGACCCAGAGAAGGAGGAUGUGGUCACAGAAGGGUUGACUUCGCAGACCGAAGAGGGGAACGACUGUCAUGAUCUGUUCACCAUGACCAGUACCUGCUUGAUGCCGUCUUUGACCGCAGAAGAUGCUGGUCCUGAUGGUUCUGGUGAGCUGACCGUGGUCAAGGAGAGUUUGGCCAUAGAGAAUGGCGAUCCAGGUGUUUUGACCAUGGUCAGUGAGGAUAAGAGCCCUUUCAGACGGAGCAACGUAGACAGAACCUUACCGGACCUCAUCAGGAGUGGACAACAGCUCGGCAGACGCAGAACAUUAGGACCAGUCUCAGACACGUUGAAGGAAGUGCGUCGGGAGGUGGCGUUGUCAGUUAGACGCAGUCUGAGGCUGAAGGCUCAGGUGGACAAACUGCAGGAGAACAGAGACCAACCGGCAUGGAGCCAACACAGGGAGAAGGUAACACACACACACUUCAAAUACAGUCAACCAUAA